AUUGGCUAAGUAAACUUCGUAAUUACUAAUUAGAACUAUUCCAUUAAUUUUAUGCUUGUAUUAACAGAGGCCGCCGAACGGCUCCCCCCCCCCCCCACACACACACACACACUUUAUUUGCAAGGGGAAAAUGUCCCCUUUUUGUGGAAAGCUUUCCAGCAAUUAAAGAGGAAUUAUAAAUGCCCCCUAGUAAGAAAUGCCCUGUUUUAUUAUUAUGCAUGUAAACAAACUUAAUUAAAAGGGUCUGAAUAGGGUUAACUGACUAAUGACAUUUGCCUGAAUUUUUGACUGACAACUGAUAAAAUAUCUUAACUGACAACUG